UACAGAGGUCUCAAGCGUUGUUCGGAUUCAUUGGGCGUAAAGGGUGCGUAGGGGGUGAUGCAAGUCUGGUGUGAAAUCUCGGAGCUCAACUCCGAAAUUGCACCGGAUACUGCGUGACUCGAGGACUGUAGAGGAGAUCGGAAUUCACGGUGUAGCAGUGAAAUGCGUAGAUAUCGUGAGGAAGACCAGUUGCGAAGGCGGAUCUCUGGGCAGUUCCUGACACUGAGGCACGAAGGCCAGGGGAGCAAACGGG
rnacentral:rRNA from 1 species